rnacentral:rRNA from 1 species
GCUUACGGCCAUACCACCCUGAAUGCGCCCGAUCUCGUCUGAUCUCGGAAGCUAAGCAGGUUCAGGCCUGGUUAGUACUUGGAUGGGUGACCGCCUGGGAAUACCAGGUGCUGUAAGCU